CUUCUCAAAACCUGUGGCACAGUGGGGCGACACACCGUGAAUUGAUGAGAGUGUAAGUUGGUGUAUUUUUGUUUGUGUAUUUGCGACCCGACUAUCGAAGAGCCUUAGAUCUUAUUGGGCUAGUACCUUCUACUCUGAAGAGGAUCUGCUUUUGAGAUGAAAAUGGAUGCUUACUUUGGGCUGAAGAUACCUUUCGGCAUGCAAAUACACAGAUAGAAAUGAAGAUAUGUUAAGCACAAAAUGUAGUUAGAUGGUACUUUGAAUGGAAGAGGGGUCUGGAGGCAGGUGGUAUGGUCAGGUCAGGUGCAUACAAGUAAGGGCUUGCGGACAUGCAUGUGGU
rnacentral:lncRNA from 1 species